rnacentral:rRNA from 1 species
UACAGAGGGUGCAAGCGUUAAUCGGAAUUACUGGGCGUAAAGCGUGCGCAGGCGGUUUUGUAAGUCUGACGUGAAAUCCCCGGGCUCAACCUGGGAAUUGCGUUGGAGACUGCAAGGCUAGAAUCUGGCAGAGGGGGGUAGAAUUCCACGUGUAGCAGUGAAAUGCGCAGAUAUCAGGAGGAACACCGAUGGCGAAGGCAGCCCCCUGGGUCAAGAUUGACGCUCAUGCACGAAAGCGUGGGGAGCAAACAGG